rnacentral:lncRNA from 1 species
AUGAAUAUGGGAAUAGUCUCUACUCCAAAAUUAGUCAACUCUUCUCCCUCUCGACAUGAGAAUAAUAACAACAACAACUUAAGUUUAGUCAGAGAAUGAAUAUCAGGUUUUUGCCAGUGGCAAACUUGUGACUCAACCAAGACGAAGUUCGGUUCGGUUCGGUUACGGACGGUAUAUGUACAAUUAUUUGAAAAACCAACGUUAUUGCCCGGAGAUUAUUCGGUUACAGCGAGUCGUCGAUCGACUCUAAUCGACGAGGAAUAAAUAAAAAUAUUUCCAAGUUGUUCGGACGUUGAUCGAUUUUAAUGGAGAAGGAUAAAACGAGAAUAUCUUCAACGAGUAAAAAGUAUCACUUCAAUUUUCUGUCCGAAUAAAUAAAUGACCAAAGAAAUAAAAUCUUUGUACACUCGUGAUAUGCGCGGGUUAACGUACUCGAAGUCUUGUGCACCGUAACGCGAUCGGUGUAAUAAUAGACGAAGAAUCUCAAUCUUCCCCUCGGUAAAGAGACCAGCCGUUAAUUGAGACAACGAUCUUCCAGUGAAUCUACGUCCGAACGUCGCCGUAAUACGAGCGAAUAAUCUACACUAGUCAAAAGACAAAACAAAUAGUGGCGGUACCGGGCAUAACGAACAAUCAUCCGCAUAGCGUCAUAUUUCAACGACUUUACAUCAGAAAUAAACAAGCCAACGAAUAAACGUAAAAUGAGUAAAGUAUAAAGCAGAAACGUUGAACGAGAAAAUGAAAAAGUCAGGGAAUUGCAUUAACUGUGCGGUAGUACGUUGCACCGCGAGUGAGAAAAAGGAAUAAAUGUUGCGAUCGUUUGAAAGUACCGUUAAAAGAUCGCUCCUUGAGUAAAGAACGCUUUCACUGUAGCGCGUAUAGUAUAUUUCUGUAUACAUCUGAGGUCACCACGUGUUUCGCUUCGGUGUUACAUAGAACGUGUGGAAAAAUAUACUUUUGAAAUGUGUAAUAAAUUCGAGUGAACUAACCCAAUUAUAUCGUGGAAAGAAGUAGGAGAAGAGGAAGAAGAAAAAAAUGGAAAAAAUGGAAAAAAUGGAAAAAAUGGAAAAAAUGGAAAAAACCGAAAGAAGAAGCGGAAAAUUGUCACGUGUUGAAACGACCGCAACGAAUUUUCUACACUAUCGUAUCAAGAUUCGUUUUACCAAUAUUAGUUUUUCCAUUCAAAUAUAUAUAUAAUAUAUAUACGAAUGUGUAUUAGCAUACGAACUGUGCUCAGAACGUCACCCGUAGUUACAUUAAAUUACGUAACCGAUUCACGUUAUACACGGUGUGUUUGAAAAUUCUUGUGACCUCCGCGAGUUCGAACGCCGGAGGGAAAAGAGCGAUAAAAAUUAUAUAAACUAAAAUAAAAUAAUGAGAAAAAAAAAAAAUGUAUCCCAACUGCGGAAAUGUUGAGUAACGAAUGUGAUGUAGAAUUAUGAUUACUCUUUUUCCUUUUUUUUUUUCACAUACACCUACGCGUCGUGGACCAUACGUUAACGGAUCUCGCGAAUUCGAAUCAUGUAGGGUACGCAAAUGAUACUAGGAAUCGCCAACUCUUUUCGAAGGUCAACGAAACCGAAAACUGUACGGUGACAGUGGAUUUUAGUCGGCGGGAUGUAUAAAUGAGGAAAUCGCGACACUCCGUAAACUACGAGAUACCAAUGCAACGGCGAACAGCCGCCACCGAGCACCUUUUCAAAGAUAGCAGCGGCAGCAGCAGCGGCAGACGGUAUCGUCGACGUCGUUUAGUCAUUGUAUAUCCUAUCGCUCAUUGUCAGUAUCAUAUCGCAGUUACCAAGGAAACUCUCGCUGUAAACGAACCAAGGUAUUUCAUUCAAAGGUGCUGCACUCUCGUUUAAAACUGCUCGCGAAUCUUGAUCGAACGUCAAAAAAAUGCAACGAUGUUAACCGAACUAAUCGGGUAAAAAAAAAUGUAAGUCAAACGUCGCGAAGUGUUUGAAUGAAAUUCCGAACACGUUGAUCACGUCAACGCAACGAUACGGUGAAUCAUUAUCUGUGAUAGUUGGCCAAAAGUAUUAUCGAGCAUUACGCAAGGUAUUGUCGGGCCGUCGACCGAUCCCCAAUGAAUUACGACCAAUUAACGGAUUCCACCGGAAUAUAAGAACGUCGCCGGCAUGUCAAGAUUUUCACACGCUAAGAAUCUAUGCCACAUGCCGAUCUAGAUAAGGCUCGCAAUCUGGGUCAAAGAUAACUCAAAAUCGUGCAUCUGUGUCGCUCGAAUAUCCGCCAUGAGGAUAAUCGAAUUUGGAAGAUGGUAGAAGAAAAAACGAACGAAAAUAUUCGGAUCCGUAGCAACGGAAACGGUUUCUAAAAAUACACCACCGAUGUUACAUGCAGGUGUAACGUAGAUACACCGGUGGUGAAAAAUUUGAGACCCGUCUUAGAAAUGGCGUCAUAAUCUGGCUUCGAACAGUAACAGGAAGUGAUCUUGUCUUACCAUUUUUAUUUCGCUUCAUUUUUACUUGGUUUGACUUUUUUUUUUUUAGUCCCGGAAUGGGUGAUAAAAAUAAAACAGAAUCGGUUAUGUUAUCCCAUGGAAAUAGGGGUAGACUACACAUCCUAGAUGGUGCAGUGCCGGAUCUAUAAUCUGAUAGAAUAGAAACGAACACGUGCCAGUCCAGCCAGUAGUAUACAUGCGAAGUGAUUCGUAGAAUGAAAUGGAAUUGAAUUUCAGAAUUCAAUGGAAUCAAAUUGAAUUAAUUCUAUAUACUGAUUCCAGACAGUGUAGUGCUUCUAUUAUUCUCCUAUAGGUAGGUACCGUGCAGCCAGUUUCUGCCCUCGCAAUCCCAUGAAAUUUCAUUAAAAAUUUUUCAUUGUAAAUUUA